rnacentral:rRNA from 1 species
UAGGGAAUCUUCCGCAAUGGGCGAAAGCCUGACGGAUCAACGCCGCGUGAGUGAUGAAGGUCUUCGGAUCGUAAAACUCUGUUAUUAGGGAAGAACAAAUGUGUAAGUAACUAUGCACGUCUUGACGGUACCUAAUCAGAAAGCCACGGCUAACUACGUGCCAGCAGCCGCGGUAAUACGUAGGUGGCAAGCGUUAUCCGGAAUUAUUGGGCGUAAAGCGCGCGUAGGCGGUUUUUUAAGUCUGAUGUGAAAGCCCACAGCUCAACCGUGGAGGGUCAUUGGAAACUGGAAAACUUGAGUGCAGAAGAGGAAAGUGGAAUUCCAUGUGUAGCGGUGAAAUGCGCAGAGAUAUGGAGGAACACCAGUGGCGAAGGCGACUUUCUGGUCUGUAACUGACGCUGAUGUGCGAAAGCGUGGGGAUCAAACAGG